UAUUCAGCGCGCCGAGGUGUAAUUCUCGGAUUAAUGAAGUCGGACUUAUGCGAAAGCAUUCACCAAGGAUGUCUUCAUUAAUCAAGAACGAAAGUUAGGGGAUCGAAGACGAUCAGAUACCGUCGUAGUCUUAGCCAUAAGACUCACCCACUAGGGAUCAGACAAGGAUUUUUUGACUCAUUCGGCUCCUUAUGAGAAAUCAAAGCUUUUGGGUUCCGGCGAGAGUAUGGUCGCAAGGCUGAAACUUAAAGGAAUCGACGGAAGGGCACCACCAGGAGUGGAACUUGUUGCUUAAUUUGAGUUAACACGGGAAAACUUUCCAGGUCCAGACACAGUAAGGAUUGACAGAUUGAAGAUCUUUCUUGAUUUUGUGGGUGGUGGGGCAUGGCCGUUCUUAGUUGGUGGAGUGAUUUGUGAGGUUAAUUCCGUUAAUCAGGGAGACUUUCCCGAAUUAAAUAGUUAUUCAAAGUCUUCUUUUAUUGGACGUGACUUCUUAGAGGGACUAUCGGUGUGUAGCAUAGGGAAGUAAGAGGCAAUAACAGGUCUGUGAUGCCCUUAGAUGGUUUGGGCAGCGCGCGUGUGAAUCACCAAAGGGCCUCAAGCUUGCAACCUUUUUUGAUAUGUUAAAGUCAUCCUUUCCACAAAGUUGGGGCUGGGGACAGGUGAUAGUUAUUAUUCAAUUCAGGGAGGAAUUGUAGUAAAGCGCAAGUCAUCAAAUAACAUUGAUUACGUCCAUGCCCUUGGUACACACCGC
rnacentral:rRNA from 1 species